AUGGAACUUUGAAUACCUUAACUUUGAGUAGGGAGGCAAGAGAGAGAGAGAGAGUUGGGUUUUCACACGUUGGGGAGGAUGGAAGAAGGGAGGGAGCAUUCUAAACGCGCAUAAAAUUGCAUUUCACAAAAGGGUUUCCAAACUUGGAAGGAACUCCAUGCUUGCAAGAGGGGGAGGAAGGUUGUGAGAACGUAUGUUGAUGAAUACGAACUACUUUGAUUAGCCCCUUUGGUGAAAAAUCCUAUCUGACUAAUCUUCAUGAGAUUGCAGUGGUAGAAGUUGCACAUGGGGUUUUGGGUGUAAAUCACGUAUCCUCCAUUGGCAGGGAAGUCCUAUAGGUCCUUGCUCGGACAACCAAGGGUUGUAGGUCAGCUCCGACGAAGCUUUCACAUACGAGAGAAGGAGGGGUAGAGUGGAGAGAAUGAAGCGACGACGGUUGCAGUGCCGUCAUUACGGCUGGCAACUGAAAAAGGGGAGUUUUGUUUUAGGUUAGCAGCGACCGCAAGAGUAUUGUCAAGAGCUGCGAUGUCAGCCAUGGGGUCGGCGGGUUGUGGCUGAAUGGAGAGAAUAUGUAGUUGGGUUGAUAUCACUAUUUUUUGUUUUGGAGUCUCUUAGCACUAUAUUUUUUUAGGGAUUUAACAUUCCCAUUAUCAAUAAUACUGGAUGCUUUUUUUAGGAAAA